UACGUACCGUACGAACGUUAUUCGGAAUUACUGGGCUUAAAGGGUUUGUAGGCGGCCUUGUAAGUCAGGUGUGAAAUCCCUCGGCUCAACCGAGGAAUGGCGCUUGAUACUGCAAGGCUUGAGGGAGACAGGGGUAAGCGGAACUGAUGGUGGAGCGGUGAAAUGCGUUGAUAUCAUCAGGAACACCCGUGGCGAAAGCGGCUUACUGGGUCUCUUCUGACGCUGAGGAACGAAAGCUAGGGUAGCGAGCGGG
rnacentral:rRNA from 1 species